UACAGGGGGGCAAGCGUUGUUCGGAAUUACUGGGCGUAAAGGGCUCGUAGGUGGCCGACUAAGUCGGACGUGAAAUCCCUCAGCUUAACUGGGGAACUGCGUCCGAUACUGGAUGGCUUGAGUUUGGGAGAGGGAUGCGGAAUUCCAGGUGUAGCGGUGAAAUGCGUAGAUAUCUGGAGGAACACCGGUGGCGAAGGCGGCAUCCUGGACCAACACUGACACUGAGGAGCGAAAGCCAGGGGAGCAAACGGG
rnacentral:rRNA from 1 species